rnacentral:rRNA from 1 species
CGAACGCGAAAGUCCCGCAAGGGGCAAGUAGAGUGGCAAACGGGUGAGUAACACGUGGGUGACCUGCCUUCGAGUGGGGGAUAACGUCCCGAAAGGGACGCUAAUACCGCAUAACAUCCUGCUUUUGAACAGGUGGACAUCAAAGCUGGGGACCGCAAGGCCUAGCGCUUGAAGAGGGGCCCGCGCCUGAUUAGCUAGUUGGUGGGGUAAUGGCUCACCAAGGCAACGAUCAGUAUCCGGCCUGAGAGGGCGGACGGACACACUGGGACUGAGACACGGCCCAGACUCCUACGGGAGGCAGCAGUGGGGAAUUGUUCGCAAUGGGCGCAAGCCUGACGACGCAACGCCGCGUGGAGGAUGAAGACCUUCGGGUUGUAAACUCCUUUCGAUCGAGACGAAUGGCCUUCGGGUGAAUAUCCUGGGGGAGUGACGGUACCGAGAGAAGAAGCCCCGGCUAACUCCGUGCCAGCAGCCGCGGUAAUACGGGGGGGGCAAGCGUUGUUCGGAAUUACUGGGCGUAAAGGGCUCGUAGGUGGCCAACUAAGUCAGACGUGAAAUCCCUCGGCUUAACCGGGGAACUGCGUCUGAUACUGGAUGGCUUGAGUUCGGGAGAGGGAUGCGGAAUUCCAGGUGUA